rnacentral:rRNA from 1 species
UACGUAGGGUGCAAGCGUUAUCCGGAAUUAUUGGGCGUAAAGAGCUCGUAGGCGGUUUGUCGCGUCUGCUGUGAAAACUGGAGGCUCAACCUCCAGCCUGCAGUGGGUACGGGCAAACUAGAGUGCGGUAGGGGAGAUUGGAAUUCCUGGUGUAGCGGUGGAAUGCGCAGAUAUCAGGAGGAACACCUAUAGCGAAGGCAGCUUGCUGGGACGAUACUGACGCUAAGGCUCGAAAGCGUGGGGAGCGAACAGG